rnacentral:rRNA from 1 species
GCAUUGUAAUUUGUAGAAGAUGCUUCGGGUGUGGCCCCGGUCUAAGUUCCUUGGAACAGGACGUCAUAGAGGGUGAGAAUCCCGUAUGUGACUGGGUGCUUUCGCUCAUGUGAAGCUCUUUCGACGAGUCGAGUUGUUUGGGAAUGCAGCUCAAAAUGGGUGGUAAAUUUCAUCUAAAGCUAAAUAUUGGCCAGAGACCGAUAGCGCACAAGUAGAGUGAUCGAAAGAUGAAAAGCACUUUGGAAAGAGAGUUAAACAGUACGUGAAAUUGUUGAAAGGGAAGCGCUUGCAACCAGACUUGCGCGCUGAUGAUCAUCCGGGCUUCUGUCCGGUGCACUCGUCUGCGCUCAGGCCAGCAUCGGUUUCGGUGGUGGGAUAAAGGCCUUGGGAAUGUAGCUCCUCUCGGGGAGUGUUAUAGCCCUCGGUGCAAUGCCGCCUAUCGGGACCGAGGACCGCGCUUCGGCUAGGAUGCUGGCGUAAUGGUUGUAAGCGACCCGUCUUGAAACACGGACCAAGGAGUCUAACAUCUAUGCGAGUGUUUGGGUGUCAAACCCAUACGCGUAAUGAAAGUGAACGGAGGUGAGAACCCUUAAGGGUGCAUCAUCGACCGGUCCUGAUGUCUUCGGAUGGAUCUGAGUAAGAGCAUAGCUGUUGGGACCCGAAAG